UACGGAGGGUGCAAGCGUUGUCCGGAAUCACUGGGCGUAAAGGGCGCGUAGGCGGCUCAUGAAGGCUGUGGUGAAAGUCCGGGGCUCAACCCUGGAAUGCCGGUGGAAACUGUCGGGCUGGAGUCCGGAAGAGGCGAGUGGAAUUCCUGGUGUAGCGGUGAAAUGCGCAGAUAUCAGGAGGAACACCAAUGGCGAAGGCAGCUCGCUGGGACGGUGCUGACGCUGAGACGCGAAAGCGUGGGGAGCAAACAGG
rnacentral:rRNA from 1 species